rnacentral:rRNA from 1 species
CUCUAAAGCUAUAUUGUCCUGAAUAUGUCCAAUAUUGUGUAAUCUCAGAAGGUAAGCAGCAUCUGGCCUGCUUAGUACAUGCAUGGAAAACCACUUGAAAUACUAGGCGCUGUAUGCU